UACAGAGGAGCCAAGCGUUGUCCGGAUUGACUGGGCGUAAAGCGCACGCAGGCGGUCGCGCGCGUGGGGUGUGAAAUCUGGCCGCUUAACGGCCAGGCGCCAUCCCAUACGGCGCAACUGGAGGGCUGCAGAGGUCGAUGGAAUUGCCGGUGUAGUGGUGAAAUGCGUAGAGAUCGGCAGGAACACCAGUGGCGAAGGCGACUUCCUGGCCUGUUCUUGACGCUGAGGCGCGAAAGCUAGGGGAGCAAACGGG
rnacentral:rRNA from 1 species